UACAGAGGGUGCGAGCGUUGUCCGGAAUCACUGGGCGUAAAGGGCGCGUAGGCGGCCGAUCAAGUCGGAGGUGAAAGCCCAGGGCUCAACCCUGGAAUGGCCUUCGAUACUGGUUGGCUCGAGACCGGAAGAGGUCAGUGGAACUGCGAGUGUAGAGGUGAAAUUCGUAGAUAUUCGCAAGAACACCAGUGGCGAAGGCGGCUGACUGGUCCGGUUCUGACGCUGAGGCGCGAAAGCGUGGGGAGCAAACAGG
rnacentral:rRNA from 1 species